rnacentral:rRNA from 1 species
UACAGAGGUCCCAAGCGUUGUUCGGAUUCAUUGGGCGUAAAGGGUGCGUAGGCGGCGCGGUAAGUCGGGUGUGAAAUCUCGGGAGCUUAACUCCGAAACUGCAUUCGAUACUGCCGUGCUUGAGGACUGGAGAGGAGACUGGAAUUUACGGUGUAGCGGUGAAAUGCGUAGAUAUCGUAAGGAAGACCAGUGGCGAAGGCGGGUCUCUGGACGUUCCUGAC